UAUGUGUUAUACAUGUUUUAUUUUUUCUAAGACAUUCAAACAAUUACUCCUUCAGCUCAUAUUUCUUUCAAUUUUUUCCUCAAAUAUUUUCUGGAUCUCUUUCGACUUUGUAAUUUAUGGAUGAUAUUAUUGAUGUUUUCGUUUUUAAAUUCUAAAUUUUGAACGAAUUGAUAAUUCUAUUAGCCAGCUGCAAGUCUCUUCACAAUCCUCCUUUACUAAUUGCUUCUCCUUCCCUAUUUCGAAGUUCCAUCUAUUUCUUCGGGCAAUAACAACAGUGGUGGUCAUAUAUCUUGCCUGGGAGCUCCAAGAUUCAAAUGUGAGCAACACUACUUAGCUAUAUAUAAUUGGAGUUUUAAAAGAUGAUGCAAAGAGAAAGGCCAGGAUAAUAGAGGAUGAUUGGGGUCCCAUAUAGGGUGGAGAUUUUAAAUUCCCCAUGAUAGUGCCAGAGCUGGCUUUGCUUCGGAUUCAAGUAUGAGAGAUGACAGGUGUUUGAUUGUGACUGCUCAGGAGAUUAAUCACAUCAUGAAAAAUACAUCUACUAUUGUAAAAUUUACAAAUAGUAUAUGUAACAAUGUAAAUAAGCAAUAAUUAUGAUACGUGAAUGUCAUGUGAGCAUCCAGUAGA